UACGAAGGGGGCUAGUGUUGUUCGGAAUCACUGGGCGUAAAGCGCACGUAGGCGGAUCUUUAAGUCAGAGGUGAAAUCCCAAGGCUCAACCUUGGAACUGCCUUUGAUACUGGGGAUCUUGAGUCCGGGAGAGGUGAGUGGAACUGCGAGUGUAGAGGUGAAAUUCGUAGAUAUUCGCAAGAACACCAGUGGCGAAGGCGGCUCACUGGCCCGGUACUGACGCUGAGGUGCGAAAGCGUGGGGAGCAAACAGG
rnacentral:rRNA from 1 species